CAAAGCCCCCACCUCUGCUUCGGACUCUAUCUCCUGCCCCCUGGGCUCCAGACAGGGACAGCUAAAUACUGCUCUGCGGGGUUAUUUAUCUGAAAAAAAAAAAAUAUUGCUUUAGAACUGUACCAGCUUCACGGUUCAGCAGCUGGGACACUUAGGUAAAAUCUGAACCUGAUCAUCAGGAGAUGUGCUAGAAAAAAACACGAAGUAGCAAAAUCCAAUUUCAAGCCAGCAUCAUUCGCUGGAAGGGAAAGCACAUGUUCAGCAGAAGGGAAGACAAACCUGAAACUGAUCUGCAGGGCUGAACAUUAUGCCUCAGACCAGCUUAACCUCUGAUUCACUGGGAAUUUAAUCAUCUCCUUUAUGUCUGAAUAAACCUGAAGCAAGCCCUCUGCCUGCAGUGGCAAAUCGUGACCAGCAAGCCCUCAGUCAUGAUGAACAGCUAUGAACCGGGGUUGAUGGCCAGAGCAUCAUUACCCUUCUACACAUACUCCACGAGGACAACCCUGUGCAACACCGCAGAACAAGGCUGGCGUGCGAGAGGCUAUUUUUAAUCGAUACAGUGUGAGAAAGAAAAGAGAUGGACACGGCACCCGAAAGUGCCGCCCGCCCAAGAAACAGUGGCUGCCUGGCUGGCUUUCUGUGUUACAGCCACCCUCCC
ensembl:lncRNA